GAUGAAGAACGUAGCGAAAUGCGAUAAGUAAUGUGAAUUGCAGAAUUCAGUGAAUCAUCGAAUCUUUGAACGCACAUUGCGCCCCUUGGUAUUCCGGGGGGCAUGCCUGUUCGAGCGUCAUUAUCACCCCUCAAGCUCAGCUUGGUGUUGGGGCCUGCCGUCAAGGCAGCCCUUAAAAUCAGUGGCGGCGCCAUCUGGCUCUAAGCGUAGUAAUACUUCUCGCUACAGGGUCUCGGUGGUGUCUUGCCAGAACCCCUCAUUUUUUAUGAUUGACCUCGGAUCAGGUAGGGAUACCCGCUGAACUUAAGCAUAUCAAUAAGCGGAGGA
rnacentral:misc_RNA from 1 species